rnacentral:rRNA from 1 species
GACGAACGCUGGCGGCGUGCUUAACACAUGCAAGUCGAACGGUGAAGGGGUCUGCUUUUGUGGGCCCUGGAUGAGUGGCGAACGGGUGAGUAACACGUGAGUAACCUGCCCCCUUCUUCUGGAUAACCGCAUGAAAGUGUGGCUAAUACGGGAUAUUCUGGGUCUGUCGCAUGAUGGGUCUGGGAAAGAUUGCGCCUUUGGGUGUUUUUGGUGGGGGAUGGGCUCGCGGCCUAUCAGCUUGUUGGUGGGGUGAUGGCCUACCAAGGCGGUGACGGGUAGCCGGCCUGAGAGGGUGGACGGUCACACUGGGACUGAGACACGGCCCAGACUCCUACGGGAGGCAGCAGUGGGGAAUAUUGCACUAUGGGCGCAAGCCUGAUGCAGCGACGCCGCGUGAGGGAUGGAGGCCUUCGGGUUGUAAACCUCUUUCGCCAGUGAAGCAGGCCUGCUCCUUGUGGGUGGGUUGACGGUAGCUGGAUAAGAAGCGCCGGCUAACUACGUG